CGAAGGGUGCAAGCGUUACUCGGAAUUACUGGGCGUAAAGCGUGCGUAGGUGGUGAGUUAAGUCUGUCGUGAAAGCCCCGGGCUCAACCUGGGAAUGGCGAUGGAUACUGGCUCGCUAGAGUGCGGUAGAGGAGAGUGGAAUUCCCGGUGUAGCAGUGAAAUGCGUAGAGAUCGGGAGGAACAUCAGUUGCGAAGGCGGCUCUCUGGACCAGCACUGACACUGAGGCACGAAAGCGUGGGGAGCAAACAGGAUUAGAUACCCUGGUAGUCCACGCCCUAAACGAUGCGAACUGGACGUUGGGAGCAAUCAGGCUCUCAGUGUCAAAGCUAACGCGUUAAGUUCGCCGCCUGGGGAGUACGGUCGCAAGACUG
rnacentral:rRNA from 1 species